GAUAUUAUCAAAUAGUAUUGUAAAACGAAAAACUUUUAUUGCAUUGUUAUAUAAAUGUUCAUAUUUUGAAUAUUUCGUCACAACUUGUUAAAUCUGGGUUCAGUUAUUGAAGUCUGUUUUAAUCAAAACUGUUAUUAAAUGAUAAUUUAAUUUUUUAUCACCGUUUUGGCUACCAAUUUGAACCAACACUUGUCUCGAACGACGUCAUCGGAGCGCCCAGAAUCGUGGAGAUUGGGAACAUAUGUAUAUAUUGAGAUAUUGAGAAUCUGUGAGAUACUUCAGCCUCUUCGCUCUGGUCAAACGUCAAACGCACGUUGAUCGACGAUUGUUGAUCGACGAUUGUUGAUUCUAGAGACCCGUGGCGCCCACCGACAUCCGCUGUUCAUAUGGGCGAGUGAUUCACAGCGAUCUCGCGGAACGGAACUCUGGGGGCUGGACAUGGACAUGGAUAUAUGGAUGUGGGCUGGAAACGAACCCAAUUGCGAGUGCGAAUGCGAAUAACUUUCCACGCCAUCAGAACUCAUUCAAAUGAAAUGGCGAAAUGGCUAUGACUGAUCUAUAUAUGCACUAUAUCUGAACACUGGGGAAAGCGUCAUCAUGUUCAUAUUGAUUAAACGUGUGGUGUGAUAAUCAAGGUAAAGGCCGUAGCUUGCGCAAUUUCGAUUGACAAUCGUGAGGUGCAGAAAUUAAAUUGAAUUCUUCACUUUCGACAUCAGUUUCCUGCUAUAGCAAAGAUAAUGCUCCAAAGUGAUUCAUUGGGCUAUACAAGUGGGUUGGGUAUUCCCUUUUGGCUGCGAGCAGACUUUGAAUGAAGCCACGAGGACUACCGACCUUGGCUUCUUCUACACUGUCAGAAAUAUAUGUAUCGCCAAGGCCAGCCCCCCAAAGACACUCGGUACGUGCAAUUGAGCAGCCUUUUGAAACAGCUAUCCAGGUGCUUACUUCUAAUUCCUUCAUACUUGAGUGAUACACUGAUAGUAAUUAGGUACAACUUUCGAUGAACA